rnacentral:lncRNA from 1 species
AUGAUGUCCUUUCACUGCUGCCCACAAAUAUGGUUAAAUUUUAUGUGCAGUGUGGGACCAUGGAAGCCAGUAUUUCAAAUCGCCUGCUUUAUUUUAUUUAUUUUGAGAAUCAUGCAACAAAGCCAUUUGACCAAAACCCCAGACUCUUCCAGAAUGGGUCGUAUCCAGCUGUGUUCUGCUGAUGGAAGACUCCAAUUUGUAGCAGGGGCUUCGCAUGAAGAUAAGGGGAGGCUCUGUAUUUUCUCUGAAGCCCCUAAUGCCACUGACCUUCCAUACUGCUCCAAGAGUCAUCCACCCUUUGAAGAUGGGAGGAGGUUGGAGAAGGAAUCUCCAUCCACUAUUCAGGUUCUUGUGUCUGCUGCAUCAAACAGCCUUCCAUCAGCUGAGGGGAGAUAAUUGUAUUUACCCCAAAAAAACCCGUGCCCUAGUGGAUUAAAGCCUUGUGACUUGAAGGUUGGGCUGCUGACCUGAAGGCUGCCAGGUUCAAAUCCCACCCGGGGAGAGCGCGGAUGAGCUCCCUCUAUCAGCUCCAGCUCCAUGCAUAAGAGAAGCCUCCCACAAGGAUGGCAAAACAUCAAAACAUCCGGGCGUCCCCUGGGCAAUGUCCUUGCAGACGGCCAAUUCUCUCACCCCAGAAGCAACUCAGGUUGCUCCUGACACGAAACCAAAAAACCCCAAAAGUAAAUGUCCUUCCAUUAGCAAAGGGGGACAAAACCAUAUACUACCCAACUUGUGAAGUUCCAGUCCCUUUCUGCCUUAAGGGAAAAGAGCAUUUCAAAUAUCUUUUUCUCCUCUCAAAAAUCAAAGCCACUUCUUUAGAAAUGAAUUCAAAACUAGCUGUUCCGAGACAUGAAAUAAAACUUUCCACUUAGCACCCAACUUCCCAUGUCUUCCCUUUGUGCUCUUCCCACCCGCCCUCCUGAAGAUUAAUCCCACUGCAAUUAUUAAACAUCAGAUUUUAGAAACAGGAAACAAAAAUUAAUAUAACAACAUGAUAGCUAAUUGUACCUUCCCUGAAUAAUGGCUGAAGUUAAAUAUAUCUAACAGUGCGAUGCCAAGAUGCAAAUUGAGGCAAAAGUCUCUAUUUACUUGGAACCAUUAAGUAUCUGAAUGAAACAGAAUUGGGAGUGGAUUAGUGGCUGCACUGGAACAUGAAGAUUCAGUGUCCUUGGCUCCAUAAAGAUGAGCAGUUACUGUUGCUCCAUGCUGCUGCCUCUUUCUAUUUCCAUGUCAAUCUAACCUGAUAGCAAAGAUUUGUCCCAUCUAGUCAUCCUCAUGCUGCAUUUGUUAUGUUAGCUCAUUCCUUCUCCAACCAAAAACUGAAACAAAAGAGCAAAACAACCCACAAAACAACCACUCCUUCAAGUUGUCUUUUUGCUAUCAAGCCAGGUCAAGACACCACUAUAAUUCUGCAGGAUCAGAAAGGACUCCAAUGUUGCCUUUUCUGGACCACGCACCAC